GACGAACGCUGGCGGCACGCUUAACACAUGCAAGUCGAACGAGAGAAGAGAAGCUUGCUUUUCUGAUCUAGUGGCGGACGGGUGAGUAACACGUGAGCAAUCUGCCUUUCAGAGGGGGAUACCGAUUGGAAACGAUCGUUAAUACCGCAUAAUAUAAUUGAACCGCAUGAUUUGAUUAUCAAAGAUUUAUCGCUGAAAGAUGAGCUCGCGUCUGAUUAGCUAGUUGGUAAGGUAACGGCUUACCAAGGCGACGAUCAGUAGCCGGACUGAGAGGUUGAUCGGCCACAUUGGGACUGAGACACGGCCCAGACUCCUACGGGAGGCAGCAGUGGGGAAUAUUGCACAAUGGAGGAAACUCUGAUGCAGCGAUGCCGCGUGAGGGAAGAAGGUUUUAGGAUUGUAAACCUCUGUCUUCAGGGACGAAAAAAGACGGUACCUGAGGAGGAAGCUCCGGCUAACUACGUGCCAGCAGCCGCGGUAAUACGUAGGGAGCGAGCGUUGUCCGGAAUUACUGGGUGUAAAGGGAGCGUAGGCGGGAUCGCAAGUCAGAUGUGAAAACUAUGGGCUUAACCCAUAAACUGCAUUUGAAACUGUGGUUCUUGAGUGAAGUAGAGGUAAGCGGAAUUCCUAGUGUAGCGGUGAAAUGCGUAGAUAUUAGGAGGAACAUCAGUGGCGAAGGCGGCUUACUGGGCUUUAACUGACGCUGAGGCUCGAAAGCGUGGGGAGCAAACAGGAUUAGAUACCCUGGUAGUCCACGCCGUAAACGAUGAUUACUAGGUGUGGGGGGACUGACCCCUUCCGUGCCGCAGCAAACGCAAUAAGUAAUCCACCUGGGGAGUACGACCGCAAGGUUGAAACUCAAAGGAAUUGACGGGGGCCCGCACAAGCAGUGGAGUAUGUGGAUUAAUUCGAAGCAACGCGAAGAACCUUACCAGGUCUUGACAUCGUAUGCAUAGCUCAGAGAUGAGUGAAAUCUCUUCGGAGACAUAUAGACAGGUGGUGCAUGGUUGUCGUCAGCUCGUGUCGUGAGAUGUUGGGUUAAGUCCCGCAACGAGCGCAACCCUUACUGUUAGUUGCUACGCAAGAGCACUCUAGCAGGACUGCCGUUGACAAAACGGAGGAAGGUGGGGAUGACGUCAAAUCAUCAUGUCCCUUAUGACCUGGGCCUCACACGUACUACAAUGGCUGUCAACAGAGGGAAGCAAAGCCGCGAGGUGGAGCGAACCCCUAAAAGCAGUCUUAGUUCGGAUUGUAGGCUGCAACCCGCCUACAUGAAGUCGGAAUUGCUAGUAAUCGCAGAUCAGCAUGCUGCGGUGAAUACGUUCCCGGGCCUUGUACACACCGCCCGUCACGCCAUGGGAGUCGGUAACACCCGAAGCCUGUAGUCUAACCGCAAGGAGGACGCAGUCGAAGGUGGGAUUGAUGACUGGGGUG
rnacentral:rRNA from 1 species